UCUAACGUGGCAGAUAAGUGCAUUGGAUUUAAGCUCCAUAAAUAAAGUUUUCUAAACUUUCAUUAGAA
rnacentral:tRNA from 8 species